rnacentral:rRNA from 1 species
GAUGAACGCUGGCGGCGUGCCUAAUACAUGCAAGUCGAGCGAACAGACGAGGAUCUUGCUCCUUCGACGUUAGCGGCGGACGGGUGAGUAACACGUGGGUAACCUACCUAUAAGACUGGGAUAACUUCGGGAAACCGGAGCUAAUACCGGAUAAUAUUUCGAACCGCAUGGUUCGAUAGUGAAAGAUGGCUUUGCUAUCACUUAUAGAUGGACCUGCGCCGUAUUAGCUAGUUGGUAAGGUAACGGCUUACCAAGGCAACGAUACGUAGCCGACCUGAGAGGGUGAUCGGCCACACUGGAACUGAGACACGGUCCAGACUCCUACGGGAGGCAGCAGUAGGGAAUCUUGCGCAAUGGGCGAAAGCCUGACGGAGCAACGCCGCGUGAGUGAUGAAGGUCUUCGGAUCGUAAAACUCUGUUAUUAGGGAAGAACAAACGUGUAAGUAAAUGUGCACGUCUUGACGGUACCUAAUGAGAAAGCCACGGCUAACUACGUG